ensembl:snRNA U6 U6 spliceosomal RNA
UUGCUUUGGCUACACAUAUACUAAAAUUGGGAUGAUACAGAGAUUAGGAUGGCUGCUGUGCAAGGAUGACAUGCAAAACACACAAAGUGCUUUCCUGAGUCAU